CCUCGAUCUAUUCAGGACAUGGAGGCAAUCAUGACAAUUAAAGAUACUCAUGAGAAUAACCUUUAAAAAAAUGACAAAGAUGAUGGAGAAAAAUGAAGAGGAGACUAGGCUGCUGUGUGUAUUAACUGAGAGAACACUGAACACUGCUACACAGUAAAGCCAACCGUUAUGAGAACCAC
rnacentral:lncRNA from 1 species